AACGAACGCUGGCGGCAUGCCUAACACAUGCAAGUCGAACGAGACCUUCGGGUCUAGUGGCGCACGGGUGCGUAACGCGUGGGAACCUGCCCUUAGGUUCGGAAUAACUCCCCGAAAGGGGUGCUAAUACCGGAUAAUGUCUUCGGACCAAAGAUUUAUCGCCUUUGGAUGGGCCCGCGUUGGAUUAGCUAGUUGGUAGGGUAAAAGCCUACCAAGGCGACGAUCCAUAGCUGGUCUGAGAGGAUGAUCAGCCACACUGGGACUGAGACACGGCCCAGACUCCUACGGGAGGCAGCAGUGGGGAAUAUUGGACAAUGGGCGAAAGCCUGAUCCAGCAAUGCCGCGUGAGUGAUGAAGGCCUUAGGGUUGUAAAGCUCUUUUACCCGGGAUGAUAAUGACAGUACCGGGAGAAUAAGCUCCGGCAAACUCCGU
rnacentral:rRNA from 1 species